AUGUGCAGUAAAUUCAAGAACAAUAUAUACGAUUAAUAAUGAUUUUUGCCUAAGUGGUGGGAUUGUAGGGGUUUUAAUUUUCUUUGGACUUUUUGGUACUUUCAAAAUUAUCUGUGAUGUACAUAUAACACUUAGAAAUGCAAUAAAAAUUCCAAUAACGUCCUAGAUACAGUUAGUACUUUAACUUCUAGAAAGGAGGUAAUAAUAGUAAGACAAUUCUGCAGUCACUGAACUAGACUGAACCAAUCUUCACCCAGAAAGAAAGCAGGAGCAAGAUUGCCUAUCCGUUAAAUACAUGAGUUUGCAUUAUAACAAUGGGAAGUUUGGCAGAGAAAAAAAUUGAAAAUUUCAUGAAAAAAGCAAGGUUUCCAACUUCCGUUCUAAAUUACUCAUAUAUGAUAUUUGGGGAACAUAAUUGAGCAGGAUUUCUUUAAGCUAAAACGUGUGUUAUCAGAGGGAAAUUCUCACUAAUGUCUCUUCCUUCCUCAGCGCUUUUCACCAAAUCCAACGAGAAUAUUCUUUCUGCUUGGAUGGAACGAGGCUACUAUCUGCGUGAACCUGCUCUUCCUCAGUCAGUCGCAUUGCUCAGCGAGUCCCGUUCCUGUUAAAACAACACCUUAGUGAUGACACUUAAGGAGAAGCUGUGUCAUAGGAGGGAAAGUAACACCCACUGGAGAGUCCAGCAUGUGAGAGAAUUUGGAAAAGCCUGAGUUCAAGAAUUCUGAGCGGUCUACUACGUAAAAGACGCUUAGACAAACUAGAUAAACUCACCCUAUUAGAGGAAGUCCAGACUGACAUGAAGGUAAAAAUAUUUGAUACAGUCCAUUAGAGCUCAAUCUGAAUUUUAUCAAAGGAAACUGUAGUACAUUUUUAAAGGCCUGUCUCAAUUUUUAAUUAGUUUCUUGUUAAAAUGAACUUUCUCUUAGUUUACUGGAGUGGGGGAGGGCCGCCUUAGACGUUGACCAGCCCCCCCCACCACCCCCACCCCCGUCAAGGACAAACCAGGGACCUUGUGUCUCCAGAUUAGGGGAAAUAGUUAAGAAGGAGAGGAAAAGAAAAUUGCUUUUCCAGCUUCUCUAACUUCCCAUGUAACCUGCAGAGAAAAGCAAGCAUCCCUUGGGAGGAAAUAACAAAAGUGCCAAACAGUAGAUGGAUGGAUGAAGCUUGCAUCCCUGCAGUGUAGUGGGGCUCUUGCCUUUACAAUGUCACGUAAACUCCUGUCCCUUGCUCACAGUGGUUAACAGAUUGCCGAGUGGACAUUUAUUACCAACUGGCCCUGCCCUCCUGGAGGCCUCUACCCUUGAAGCUGCUCCUUCGCUCAGUUCCUUUUCCUGCCAGAAAUAUCAAAGUCAGAGAAGGGGGUCUGAAAGUUCAGUUGCCUGUUUCCUUUUCCUACUGUACACAAGGUAGCUGGUUAGACCACAAGUUGCGUCCAUAAGAAACCUUAAGAGAUAACUCAUUGUAACCCAUGUCAGGUAAUAAGAGACAAACAAGCCUCUUCUUACAAAACAACUCACCACUGUAUUAUCUCUAAGGUACUCCCACCUCAGCCACCCCUCCCCCGUAAAAUAAACAUUCAAAGUUUCUGUGGUUCAGUAUCUUUUCUUUGAGCAUAGAUGGGAUUUCUAAUACAGGUUUGCCUUAUCACGUACUCUGUUUUGUCAGACUUUUGAUUCCUAAGAUACUUUAUGACCUCACUGCACCGCCAUUCCCCUUUGUCAACAAUAACCUCAACAGGCAUGGCAAA